rnacentral:rRNA from 1 species
GAUGAACGCUGGCGGCGUGCCUAAUACAUGCAAGUCGAGCGAACGGACGAGAAGCUUGCUUCUCUGAUGUUAGCGGCGGACGGGUGAGUAACACGUGGAUAACCUACCUAUAAGACUGGGAUAACUUCGGGAAACCGGAGCUAAUACCGGAUAAUAUUUUGAACCGCAUGGUUCAAAAGUGAAAGACGGUCUUGCUGUCACUUAUAGAUGGAUCCGCGCUGGAUUAGCUAGUUGGUAAAGUAACGGCUUACCAAGGCAACGAUGCAUAGCCGACCUGAGAGGGGGAUCCGGCACACCGGAACUGGGAAACGGGCCCGAACCCCAAGGGAGGGAGGAGGGGGGAAUUUUGCCGAAUGGGGGGAAAGCUGAACGAGCCAACCCCGGUGGGUGAAGAAGGGCUUUGGGUUCGAAAAACCUUUUUUUUGGGAAAAAAAAUAGGUGGAAGUAACCGUGCAAUUCUGGCGGGAACCAAAGAAAAAACCCCGGGCAAAUUCGUG